rnacentral:rRNA from 1 species
GACGUAGGGCGCGAGCGUUGUCCGGAUUUACUGGGCGUAAAGGGCGCGUAGGCGGCGUGGUAAGUCAGUUGUGAAAUCUCCGAGCUUAACUCGGAACGGCCAACUGAUACUGCUGUGCUAGAGUGCAGAAGGGGCAAUCGGAAUUCUUGGUGUAGCGGUGAAAUGCGUAGAUAUCAAGAGGAACACCUGAGGUGAAGACGGGUUGCUGGGCUGACACUGACGCUGAGGCGCGAAAGCUAGGGGAGCAAACGGG